rnacentral:lncRNA from 1 species
ACGCAUCAAAUGCUCUUCUUGGAGGGGAUCCUGCUGGCUUGACCUGCAGUUGGAAGGAGGGGCUAGGGUUUCAGGCGGCGGUUGCGGUCGGACGCGAGGGCUAGGUCCUCUGCUGCUCUCUGCAGGCAACCAUGGUGGUGGCGCGAAACGGGGCUCCUCUGCAGCGACCGGAGAGGAGAUGAGAUGGGGGAGGAAGAACGCGGGCGCGGGCUACGUCGUCGCCGUCGAGGCCAUGGACCAGAGGGUGAUCUGCGGCGCCACCGCCAGAUCGGUCAUCAUGGCCGCGGGCGAGGGAGGCGACGGUGACGUCUUGAGUAGGAGGAUGGGGGCGAGGGCUUAAGGAGGAGGUCGGAACGGCGCUGGCUGGCUUCUCCCGGCGAGGUCCGGGAGGCGCCCGGGCGAGGCCAGCGAGGAACAUGCAGCGGCGGCUGAGGAGGAGGGGCUAGGAACCCUAGCCAGGGUGAGGGAGUCAUGGGUGGGUGGCGAUGGAUUGUGGGAGCGGGCUGCCUAUGAGCGCAUCGACCGUGGGGAGGUAAAAAACCAGACGAAAAAAUAACCAACGAAAAUAAAACGGAGGUGGGAGGAUGAUGAAAAAAACCAGCGAAAAUAAAACCGCGCGGACUAUUCACCAACUGCUCCGUUAGGAGUAGAGAUUAUGAGAAAUUAAAUGAAUUGAUGGAUCAUGCUGUACUCACAGAUUGGUCGCCUGAUGCAGUCAGUAAUUGGGAUCCCUCCUAAAUAAAUGACAUGAAUACGAUGAUUAACUUUGCCAGAGACACAAAAAUACUGAAGCAGAGAAAACAGCUGUUGCAUAUUGCACGUAAAUGUGGUUAUAUCGUGUGUUGAGGAGGUGGCAUCUCUGGCGGUUGGCGACGGCACGUCAGAACCCGUGGAGGGCGACCAACGGCGACAAGGGCCGGGAGGCCGAGGCGGCGUGAGGAGGAGGUCGAGCAGGUCGAGCAGGUCCGCGGUCCAUGGCCUUCCUUGUUGUGCACAAGCAGAGAUGAGUCGGGCCUGCACACAACAGCACACACGCACACAUCAAAUCGAGAAGAAGAAGAAGAAGAAGAAGAGAAGGGGAUGCACUCACGCAUCAAAUGCUCUUCUUGGAGGGGAUCCUGCUGGCUUGACCUGCAGUUGGAAGGAGGGGCUAGGGUUUCAAGCGGCGGUUGCGGUCGGACGCGACGGCUAGGUCCUCUUCUGCUCGCUGUAGGCAACCAUGGUGGUGGCGCGAAACGGGGCUCCUCUGCAGCGACCGAAGAGGAGAUGAGAUGGGGGAGGAAGAACGCGGGCGCGGGCUACGUCGUCGCCGUCGAGGCCAUGGACCAGAGGGUGAUCUGUGGCGCCACUGCCAGAUUGGUCAUCAUGGCCGCAGGCGAGGGAGGCGACGGUGACGUCUUGAGUAGGAGGAUGGGGGCGAGGACUUAAGGAGGAGGUCGGAACGGCGCUGGCUGGCUUCCCCGGCGAGGUCCGGGAGGCGCCCGGGCGAGGCCAGCGAGGAACAUGCAGCGG